ensembl:lncRNA
AAACAACAGUGUUACCCCUUGUGGUUUUUUUGACAAAGACAACAGUGUAACCCCUUAUGUUUUUUUUCAUGACGACCAAUAAAAAACGACAGUGUUACCCCUUGUGGUUUUUUUGACAAAGACAACAGUGUUACCCCUUAUGUUUUUUUUUACGACGACCAAUCAAAAAAACGACAGUGUUACCCCUUAUGGUUUUUUUCGUGACGGCCAAUAAAAAACGACUGCGUUACCCCUUGUGGUUUUUUUCAUGAUGACCAAAGAAAAACAACAGUGUUGCUACCUAUGUUUUAUUUGAAAAAAAUUGACAGUGUGUGUUUAUUUCAUUUCCUUAUGUUUAUUUCAUGACGGCCGAUAAAAAUCAACAGUGGUACCCCUAUCGACGUUUUUGCAGGGAUCCGAGCAUGAGCUGUUUAGAGUGUUAACCUCAAAUUUUAUCAAUGCACCAUCAAGACACCGAAUGAAGUCAACACAAUGGUUAUACUUGACUUUAUAAUUCGCAUGAAAUAGAGAUAAGAGUAUUCCAACAGAAUACACCAACCGGACUUGAACCCCGGUCUCCAGGGGUUUAGCUCACUGCUCUCUCCACUUCCCACUGAGAUUAGUAAUUUAAAUAUGUCUUUGGUUAGAUAUGACAGUGCAAUUGACAUCAUAGCAUUACGUUUGAAAUUAAAGAUAGUGUGUUUUCCACAGAAUUUGAGCCGCGGCCUCCAGUGGGUUAGGCAGAGUGCACUCCACUGCACCACUGAGGCGAUGAGCAUACACAAUAAUCAAUCAUCAAUAAAGAGGAUAUACAUGACAUUAAAAUGUAUGUGUGUAUUUCUAUUAUUUCCCUUAUGUUUUAUUUGACAAAGACAACAGUGUUACUCCUUAUGUCUUUUUUCAUGACGACCAAUUAAAAACCACAGUUGUUACCCUUUAAAAAUUGUUCAUGACGACCAAUAAAAAACAACAGUGUUACCCCUUAUGUUUUUUUUCAUGUUGACCAAUUAAAAAACGACAGUGUUACCCCUUAUGUUUUUUUUCCUGACGACCAAUAAAAAACAACAAUGUUACCCCUUAUGUUUUUUUUUAUUACGGCCAAUAAAAAACAGCAGUGUUACCCCUGAUGUUUUUUUUCAUAAUGACCAAUAAAAAACAACAGUGUUACCCCUUAUGUCUUUUUUCAUGACGACCAAUUAAAAACCACAGUGUUACCCCUUAAAAAAUUGUUCAUGACGACCAAUAAAAAACAACAGUGUUGCCCCUUAUGUUUUUUUUCAUGUCGACCAAUAAAAAUCGACAGUGUUACCCCUUAUGUUUUUUUUCCAACGACCAAUAAAAAACAACAAUGUUACCCCUUAUGUUUUUUUUUAUGACGGCCAAUAAAAAACAACAGUGUUACCCCUUAUUUUUUUUUUCAUGACGACUAAUAAAAAACAACAGUGUUACCCCUUGUGGUUUUUUUCAUGACGACCAAAGAAAAACAACAGUGUUGCUACCUAUGUUUUAUUUGAAAAAUAUCGACAGUCCCUUAUGUUUAUUUCAUGACGGCCGAUAAAAAACAACAGAGUUACCCCUCAUGUUUUUUCCAUGUUGACCAAUUAAGAACAACAGUAGUAGCCCUAUCGACAUUUUUGCGGGGAUCCAAACCUGAGCUGUUUAGAGUGUUAACCUCCAAACUUAUCAAUGCACCAUCAAGACACCGAAUACAGUCUGCACAAUGGUUAUACUUUGCUUUACACGUUUAUGUUUACGUUGCUUAUGUUUUAUUUGACAAAGACAACAGUGUUACCCCUUAUGUUUUUUUUAUGACGACCAAUAAAAAACAACAGUGUUACCCCUUAUUUAUUUUUUCAUGUCGACCAAUAAAAAACAACAGUGUUACCCCUUAUGUCUUUUUUCAUGACGACCAAUAAAAAACCAGAGUGUUACCCCUUAUGUUUUUUUUUAUGACGACCAAUAAAGAACAACAGUGUUACCCCUUAUGUUUUUUUUCAUGUCGGCCAAUAAAAAACGACAGUGUUACCCCUUAUGUUUUUUUUCCUGACUGCCAAUAAAAAACAACAGUGUUACCCCUUGUGGUUUUUUUCAUGACGACCAAAGAAAAAAAACAGUGUUGCUACCUAUGUUUUAUUUGAAAAAUAUCGACAGUCCCUUAUGUUUAUUUCAUGACGGCCGAUAAAAAACAACAGAGUUACCCCUCAUGUUUUUUCCAUGUUGACCAAUAAAGAACAACAGUGGUACCCCUAUCGACGUUUUUGCGGGGAUCCAAACCUGAGCUGUUUAGGGUGUUAACCUCCAAACUUAUCAAUGCACCAUCAAGACACAGAAUAAAGCCUGCACAAUGGUUAUACUUUGCUUUAUAUAUUUAUGUUUAUGUUGCUUAUGUUUUAUUUGACAAAGACAACAGUGUUACCCCUUAUGUUUCUUUUCAUGACGACCAAUAAAAAACAACAGUGUUACCCCUUAUGUUUUUUUUCAUGUCGACCAAUAAAAAACAACAGUGUUACCCCUUAUUUUUUUUUCCAUGACGACCAAUAAAAAACAACAGCGUUACCCCUUAUAUUUUUUUUCAUAAAGACCAAUAAAAGACAACAGUGUUUUUUAUGUUUUUUAUGUUCUUUUCAUGACGACCAUGACGACCAAUAAAAAACAACAGUGUUACCCCUUAUGUUUUUUUCAUGACGACCAAUAAAAAACGACAGUGUUACCCCUUACGUUUUUUUUCCUGACAUUCAAAGAAAAACAACAGUGUUACCCCUUAUGUUUUUUUUCAUGACGACCAAUACAAAUGUUGGUCGUCAUGAAAAUGUAGAGAUAUGUCACCCCUUAUUUUUUUUUUCAUUACGACCAAUAAAAAACAACUGUGUUACCCCUUGUGGUUUAUUUCAUGACGGCCGAUAAAAAACAACAGAGUUACCCCUCAUGUUUUUUCCAUGUUGACCAAUAAAAAUGGACUGUGGUACCCCUUUCAACUUUUUUGCGGGGAUCCGAACCUUAGCUGUUCAGAGUGUUAACCUCCAAACUUAUCAAUGCACCAUCAAGACACAGUAAAAAGCUUACACAAUGGUUAUACAUUGCUUUAUAAUUCGCAUGAAAUAGAGCUAAGUCUUCCAACAGAGGACAGCAAUCGGACUUGAACCCCUGUCUCCAGGGGUUUAGCUCACAGCUCUCUCCACUUCCCACUGAAUUUUGUAAUUUAACUUUGUCUGUGGUUAUAUAUGACGACCAAAGAAAUGAUAGGAUUACGUUUAAAUUUAAAGAUAUUGUGUUUUCCACAGAAAUUGAGCCACGGUCUCCAGUGGGUUAGGCAGAGUGCACUCCACUGCACCACUGAGGUGAUGCCAAUACACAAUAAUCAAUCAUCAAUAAAGAGGAUAUACAUGACAUUAAAAUGUAUGUGUGUAGUUCUAUUAUUUCCCUUGUUUUUUUUGUAUAAUUUCAUCAUACAACAUGAUUUUUCAUUAAAUUGUUGACAUCCACCCUUUUUAUGAUAUUUAUCAUAUUAUCGUUUCAUUUUAUUUAGAACAUUGUCUGUGUAGGCUGAUGUAGGCUAUGAUGCAGAACUGUCAUAGCUGAAUAUGGUAUUAUGCUGAUUUUACAUAAGCAUGUUGGUGUUCAACAUCUGUUGUAGUGAACAUUCAACUGUUCUAAAAUGUUGCUGCCAUAUUAUUAGACACGUUGAAUAUUAUCUUUUUAAUUCUGGAAUCCCGCACGUAUACUGGUUGGCAAAAAAAGAGCAAAGACGGACGGUUCACUUGACGGGGAAACCGUCACUUUCCUCAUAUCAGACAACUGAUAUGAAGAAAUGUACGCGGGUAACGCCGUCAGAAUCCAAGUGGUGCAAAAAAACAUUGCACCGUGGACCUCUGGGAGUGAGGUCAAGUGAGGUCUAAAUCACAAAACUGAUGUUCAUCCUUUCAAAGUAAUGUACAGUCGGAUUAAAACGAACAAAUAACAGGAUUGAAUUGAAAGC